rnacentral:rRNA from 1 species
UGGGGAAUAUUGCACAAUGGGCGAAAGCCUGAUGCAGCAACGCCGCGUGAGUGAUGAAGGCCUUCGGGUUGUAAAGCUCUGUCUUCUGGGACGAUAAUGACGGUACCAGAGGAGGAAGCCACGGCUCACUACGUGCCAGCAGCCGCGGUAAUACGUAGGCAGCGAGCGUUGUUCGGAGUUACUGGGCGUAAAGAGUGCGUAGGCGGCGAGCCAAGUUUGGUGUGAAAUCUCCCGGCUUAACCGGGAGGGUGCGCCGAAAACUGGUUGGCUGGAGUAUGGGAGAGGAAAGCGGAAUUCCUGGUGUAGCGGUGAAAUGCGUAGAUAUCAGGAGGAACACCUGCGGUGUAGACAGCUUUCUGGACCAAAACUGACGCUGAGGCACGAAAGCGUGGGUAGCAAACA